UACGGAGGGUGCGAGCGUUGUUCGGAAUCACUGGGCGUAAAGCGCGUGUAGGCGGCCCAUUAAGUCUGAUGUGAAAGCCCGGGGCUCACCCCCGGAAGUGCAUUGGAAACUGAUGGGCCCGAGUCCCGGAGAGGAGGGUGGAAUUCCUGGUGUAGCGGUGAAAUGCGUAGAGAUGUGGAGGAACACCGAUGGCGAAGGCAGCCUUCUGGGCCAACACUGACGCUCAUGCACGAAAGCGUGGGGAGCAAACAGG
rnacentral:rRNA from 1 species